GAUCCUGUAGCCAAGCGGAAAGGCGCUGGCUUGCGGAGCCAGUAACCGGAGGUUCGAUCCCUCCCAGGAUCGCCA
rnacentral:tRNA from 1 species